UGAUGAGAAAGUGGGCAGAUCGGCUCUAUUCACAGCUGGGGGAAACUGACCACUUUAACAAAAGGAAGAAUGCUCAGGUAACAUCUAGCCCAAAGGUCGCUCAGGAAUGUUCAAAGCACUCAGGAGAGAGUGAAGUAUCCCAUCUUUGGGACACACAAGUCCCACUCAGCAUCCAUUGAAAGCGCAGCACCAAAAGCAUUGAGAUGGUGGCAGGACCUCAUUUUCCCUCUUCUCUAUUCCCUUACUCUUUCUCCAGCACAGAAGAAGCCUUGGUCUGCUUAGAAGCACUCCCCAGCAUCUGAACCAUCUCUUCCAAGCUAUUCCCCCAGAAGACAGGAAGACUGGGCGGUUUCCUCUGUAACAGCUCCCAGAACUGCAGCUUCCAGUGGUUUCUCCCAGCUUCAGCAGGGCAGUCCUGCAUAGCUGCCACUUCUACCGAGGACCACCCUCUCCAGGUUCCACGCAAGCUCAUGGUGGCUGCUCCAGCCCAGCAGACCCACUUCCUGGGAGUCAUCACCCACUUGCAUCUUACUGUGGCUCUUCUUCUGUGUCCCCCAGUCAUCUGCCUACACAGAGAGAGCACAGCCACUGAAGCCUGAGACUCACGAAAGACGCCUGUGCUUUGAGGGGCUGCAGGGGGCUGCUUCCCAGGCAAACUUCAUUGCAGAAUUCUGAUGUCCCUGUCUGCUUCCCACUCAGGGAGUUAAUGGGACUCCACAACAGGACUCCCAGAAGUUCUCCCUGCCUGCAUAAGAGUGCUGAGUGAUAGAUUUGAAAUUGGACCCCUGACAUCAUGAAUAGCAGAAGUUAAUAUCUAAUGCAGCCAAAAUGCUGCACAGCUUCCUGGAACCCUUAGCACCAAAGACCACCAUGCACUGAGGAGCCACCUGCAGCUCUCCACACCAUGAAGUGCAUAUGUACCCCUCCUCUCCGCAUCUCGCAUGACCCAGCCCAUGGUGCUAAACUGACUGAGCAAGAAGCAUCCAGAGCCUCUUCUGCUGGACGCAUGGAACACACUCUCAAGAGAUGCA
rnacentral:lncRNA from 1 species